AAGAUGGUGUAGAAAGUAAUGACAGGAAUUGGACGAAGUAAUUGAUCACUAAAGAACUACAGUGCUGGUGAGAUGUGUAAGAAAUUAUAAAGAGCUCUGAUGGGCUAUUUGGGUGAUACCCAGUGCAGUGAACUGCAGGAUUUUUGUCCCUGAGUCAUGGAAGACAGAAGAGCUGAGAAGUCAUGUGAACAAGCGUGUGAAUCACUUAAGAGGCAGGACUAUGAAAUGACCCUCAAGCACUGCACAGAGGCCCUCCUUUCUCUUGGCCAGUACUCCAUGGCCGACUUCACAGGGCCAUGUCCACUGGAGAUAGAAAGCAUCAAAAUUGAGAGUCUUCUUUACAGAAUUGCCUCAUUUUUGCAACUGAAAAACUAUGGGCAAGCUGAUGAAGAUUGUAGGCAUGUGCUGGGAGAAGGCCUGGCCAAGGGAGAUGGUGCCUUUCAGGCAGUGCUUUGCUGCGUGCAACUGAAAGGAAAGCUUCAACUGGUAUCCAACAUUCUUGCCAAGUCACUGACAGGAGAGUCCCUGAAUGGGAUGGUAACAAAGGAUUUGACAAGACUAAAAACACUUCUCACAGAAACAGAGACAGCAACUAGUAACGUCCUCUCUGGAUAUCACGUGGAAGACUUGGAAGGGGGAUCUUGUAAUGGUUGGCAUUUCCACCCACCACCUAGGGGAAUCACAAGCAGCGAGGAAUAUACUUUGUGUCAAAGAUUUUUAGAGCAAGGAAUCUGUAGGUAUGGUGCGCAGUGUACUUCAGCACAUUCCCAGGAAGAACUAGCAGAAUGGCAGAAAAGAUAUGCUUCACGCUUGAUAAAAUUGAAACAGCAAAAUGAGAAUAAACAGCUCUCAGGCAGUUACAUGGAAACCUUGAUAGAAAAGUGGAUGAAUUCAUUAUCUCCUGAGAAAGUGCUUAGUGAAUGUAUAGAAGGAGUAAAAGUAGAGCAUAAUCCUGAUCUGUCGGUUACUGUCAACACCAAAAAAUCUCACCAGACAUGGACCUUUGCUCUUACUUGUAAGAUCUUGAAUACCUGAUGCAUGCAAAACAACAGCUAGUAACCACAGCUAAGCGUUGGGAUUCUUCUUCUAAGACUAUUGUAGAUUUUGAACCUAAUGAAACUACUGAUUUGGAGAAGAGCCUUCUUAUCAGAUACCAAAUUCCUCUCUCUGCUGACCAGCUGUUUACCCAGUCCGUUUUAGACAAAUCAUUGACCAAGACCAACUAUCAGUCACGGCUGCAUGACCUUCUUUAUAUUGAGGAGAUAGCCCAGUAUAAAGAAGUCAGCAAGUAA